GUUUAUCAAAGUGCUUAGCCUGACGCCUGACACGCCGUGUACCCAAGAUAAAUGUUUGUUGUGUCAGUCGAUCUGUCGAGGAAGGAGGCCUCAGCAUGCUGUUACUAGGAAUCUAAGGAACCCAGUGCUGAUGGAGAAAGGGGUGCAGUCCAGACCCUAACAGAGAGUUCUCGGAUCUUGCGCAGGGAGGAACUGAAGGCAGUCACAGAGUGCAGUGAGAGACAGCUGCUCUGAUACACAGUGGGGAGCCCGCGGAAAGCAGGAGGAGGAACGUGCCGUCUUUGUUUCAAAGGCAUCUUGUAUCAGUGUAAAAGCCAAGCUAUGUGUAAGUGCAGGUGGGCUGGCAGUGUGACAAGAUCUAGUACUUGGUGGAUGUAAAUAAAGUCAUCCUUGGCA